rnacentral:lncRNA from 1 species
GCCAGAUAUACAUGGGAGGGAGAUGGGUGCAGGGCACGUGGACCAGAAAUACUUCCUAGAAACAGCAAGUAGCUGCUCAACCCUGCCUGAACUUUUCUGUAAACACAGUGCACUGACAGACGGCAUCCCUGCUGGGUGGAUCCCGCACCUCCUAGAGGGAAUGGCACUUCUUGUUUUUAAUUAGCCAGGGGAAACGUGAAUUAAAACUAUCUGUUUGGCAAGUCGGUGCAAGAGACUGACUUCUGAGAGGCUUCAGGGAGACGGAGGGAAGAGCUCCGCGGGGGCAGGUAGCGCGUGUGCUGGGUUUGUUUUCUGAAUGAAACGCUGUCCGGUGACUGAAAAGAAUACAGCUUCUUCCUCUGUCCGCGGCGUAGUUACUGCAGACAGCUCCAGACAGGACAUGGCUCUGAAGACGCCCUCCGCGGAAUGCUCUCCUGCUCCAGGCUUUUAAACAACUGUCCUGGGGAGAGGAAGGUUUUACGUGUCCAAAUACAGCUUGACAAAUGGCACUUUGGAACUGUGCUUUCUGAUGACAACACGUUCGAUUUCUGACAAAGCCUCUCGCACGCUGCCCCUGGAGGGAAGUCCUAAGUAAAACUCAAACCCGCCUUAAAGUGAGGCUCUAGAGGACUUGCACCCUGAGACCGCAGCAUGGCAUCCGCCGGACGCGCUAUCACCUUGCUCCUGUGGGCUCACCUACUACUGGAGCUUUGGCCAGGAGGUCGCGCAGCGGAUACCCCCUACCCCCGGUUACGUCUAUCACAUAAAGGUAGGUUACCUUUUCAGAUCCUUUUG